GAUGAACGCUGGCGGCGUGCCUAAUACAUGCAAGUCGAACGGAAAGACUCUGCUUUUGUGGGUUGCACGAGUGGCGAACGGGUGAGUAACACAUGAGUAACCUGCCCUUGAAGUUGGGGUAACUUUAGGGAAAUGGGGCUAAAAACCGGUAGGAUCUCCUGAUGCACGGUGGUGAUUGGUAAAUGUCGGCGGUUCGGGAUGGUCUCGCGGGUUCUCAGCUUGUUGGUGGGGUAGUGGCUGACCAAGGGUUCGACGGGUAGUAGGCGCGAGAGGGGGACCGGGCACCUGGCGACUGAGAUACGGCCCAGACUCGUACGGGAGGCAGCGGUGGGGAGUAUUGCACAAUGGGCGGACGCCUGAUGCAGCAACGCCGCGUGCGGGAUGACGGGCUUUGGGGUGAGAACAGAUUUGGCCUUAGACAAAGCCUGAGUGACGGUAACGGAUCAGAAAGCCACGGCUAACUACGUG
rnacentral:rRNA from 1 species